AGGGGAAUGCUGUACACUCUA
rnacentral:miRNA from 1 species